rnacentral:lncRNA from 1 species
UAAAUGUAGAAUCUCUCGGUGAGAUCCUUAGUGUUUUAAAAUGAAAGUAGGGGCUCAGCCUUGGGAGUCAUUCUGACGCUUCAAUGGUCAAUCAAACUCACGUAGAGAGGUUGAACCAUGUGGUGAGAAGUAGCAGGAGGUCCUUAGUCUUGGGGGCUCCCAGUAUGCCUCAAGGCGCGGAACGGACUAACCUCGUGAGUGUGGCAGGAUGGGGAACCCAAGUUUCAUAAGUCACCACGGGUGCAAGACUCGCCAUAGCCCGACUAUCAUUUUAAAGUCCGGAUGAGUCAAGUCUAGAAAUUCACAUGCUUAGGUUGUAUUAUUAAACUGUUUGUUAAGAAUUAUUAUUGUAUGAUACAUGCUUAAUCUCAGUUGUAUGAUUUUAUAUAAUUAGCUCACCC